UACGUAGGGGGCAAGCGUUGUUCGGAAUUACUGGGCGUAAAGGGCGCGUAGGCGGCACGGCAAGUCAGGAGUGAAAGGCCUGGGCUCAACCGAGGAACUGCUUUUGAGACUGCCGAGCUAGAGUGCAGAAGGGGCAACUGGAAUUCCCAGUGUAGCGGUGAAAUGCGUAGAUAUUGGGAAAGAACACCUGAGGCGAAGGCGGGUUGCUGGGCUGACACUGACGCUGAGGCGCGAAAGCCAGGGGAGCAAACGGGGA
rnacentral:rRNA from 1 species